GCCAGGUGUGGUGGCACACACCUGUAAUCCCAGCACUUCGGAGGCUAAGGCAGGAGGAUGGGGAGUUCAAAGCCAGCCUGAGCAAUUUAGCAAGGCCCUGAGCAACUCAGCCAGACCCUGUCUCUA
rnacentral:sRNA from 1 species